AGAUUUCUAGUGUUCUGUAUUAUGCAUGACAUGGGGUGAUCUCAAUAUGUUUAAUUUUGAAGAAUGAAUCCUGUAUUUGAACUUACGAUCAUGAAAGUAUGAUUCUAAUGAAAUCACAGUGAAGUAUUUAUGUUUUCUUUUUAAAAUGUACUAUUUUAUAUAGUCCUAUACGACAAUUGGUUUAUAUUUCAUAACAACUUACAUUAUAGUUUAAUUAGUUUGCGCCAACAAUAGCUUUAAAG
rnacentral:lncRNA from 1 species